rnacentral:tRNA from 1 species
AAGACAAUAAGUUAAACCUAAACUCCCUCCGUUCAAAGGAGGUAAUGAGAAAACCUCUCUUGUCUUG